rnacentral:rRNA from 1 species
GAUGAACGCUGGCGGCGUGCCUAAUACAUGCAAGUCGAGCGAACAGACGAGGAGCUUGCUCCUCUGACGUUAGCGGCGGACGGGUGAGUAACACGUGGAUAACCUACCUAUAAGACUGGGAUAACUUCGGGAAACCGGAGCUAAUACCGGAUAAUAUAUUGAACCGCAUGGUUCAAUAGUGAAAGACGGUUUUGCUGUCACUUAUAGAUGGAUCCGCGCCGCAUUAGCUAGUUGGUAAGGUAACGGCUUACCAAGGCAACGAUGCGUAGCCGACCUGAGGGGGCGAUCGGCCACACUGGAACUGAGACACGGUCCAGACUCCUACGGGAGGCAGCAGUAGGGAAUCUUCCGCAAUGGGCGAAAGCCUGACGGAGCAACGCCGCGUGAGUGAUGAAGGUCUUCGGAUCGUAAAACUCUGUUAUUAGGGAAGAACAAAUGUGUAAGUAACUAUGCACGUCUUGACGGUACCUAAUCAGAAAGCCACGGCUAACUACGUG